rnacentral:lncRNA from 1 species
ACUAAAUCGAUCUGCCCCCCCGGGCUCCUCCUCCCGGCGUUGUCUACCGAAACCCCGCCCCGGAUCUCCGGGACCCUCCCCCCUCCCACCCCGACCACCGCGGCCCCCCCCCCCCACCUCAAUCCCGUUCUAUGGUCCAUCCCCCCCCUGCGGCCGGGCCGGCGUGCUGCCGAACGUCACGGACCGGGGGGGGCGGGGGUUCCCGGGGGGGGUCGUCGGCCGCCAGAGACUCCGCGACCCCUACAGCGAAACGGACGACGACUGCUGCUAACGGAGCGCGGCUGAAUCGCGAUAGGGGCCGUUAUGUCGCGAUAGGGCGCCAUUAUGUCGCGAUAGGGGGCCGUUAUGUCGCGAUAGGGGGCCGUUAUGUCACAAUAGGGCGCCGUUAUGUCGCGAUAGGGGGCGAUAGGGGGCGUUACGUCGCGAUAGGGCACCAUUAUGUUGCGAUAGAGCGCCGUUAUGUCGCGAUAGGUGCGCUGUUAUGUCACGAUAGGGGGCGUUAUGUCGCGAUAGGGGGCCAUUAUGUCACAAUAGGACGCCGUUAUGUCGCGAUAAGGCGCCGUUAUGUCACGAUAGGGGGCGUUAUGUCGCGAUAAGGCGCCGUUAUGUCGCGAUAGGGCACCGUUAUGUCGCGAUAAGACACCGUUAUGUUGCGAUAAGGCGCCAUUAUGUCGCGAUAGGGCACCGCCAACGGGUCACAGGCGCCUCCACGCCGCGAUAGAGCGCAGGGAUAUCGCGAUAGUCGCAGCCAUAUCGCGAUAGUUGCCGUCAUAUCGCGAUAUUCGAGUGGGGACCCCCCCCCCAACCCCCCAGGCCGGGGCUAUGGAUGAG